GACGAACGCUGGCGGCGUGCUUAACACAUGCAAGUCGAACGGACCGGCCCUGCUUUUGUGGGGUGCUCGUGUGCCGAACGGGUGAGUAACACGUGAGUAACCUGCCCUUGACUUUGGGAUAACUUCAGGAAACUGGGGCUCAUACAGGAUAGAAGCUCCUGCUGCAUGGUGGGAGUUGGAAAGUUUCGGCGGUUGGGGAUGGUCUCGCGGCUUAUCAGCUUGUUGGGGGGGUAGUGGCUUACCAAGGCUUUGCCUGGUAGCCGGCCUGAGAGGUUGACCGGCCACAUGGGGACUGAGAUACGGCGCAGACGCCUACGGGAGGCAGCAGUGGAGAAUAUGGCACAGUGGGCGGAAGCCUGAUGCAGCAACGCCGCGUGCGUGAUGACGGCCUUCGGGUUGUAAACCGCUUUCGCCUGUGACGAAGCGUGAGUGACGGUAAUUGGUAAAGAAGCACCGGCUAACUACGUG
rnacentral:rRNA from 1 species